rnacentral:rRNA from 1 species
UACGUAGGGUGCAAGCGUUAUCCGGAAUUAUUGGGCGUAAAGAGCUCGUAGGCGGUUUGUCGCGUCUGCUGUGAAAACCCGAGGCUCAACCUCGGGCCUGCAGUGGGUACGGGCAGACUAGAGUGCGGUAGGGGAGAUUGGAAUUCCUGGUGUAGCGGUGGAAUGCGCAGAUAUCAGGAGGAACACCGAUGGCGAAGGCGGGUCUCUGGGCAACAACUGACGCUGAGGAGCGAAAGCGUGGGGAGCGAACAGG